rnacentral:rRNA from 1 species
AUUGAACGCUGGCGGCAUGCUUUACACAUGCAAGUCGAACGGUAACAGGCCUUCGGGUGCUGACGAGUGGCGAACGGGUGAGUAAUGCAUCGGAACGUGCCCAGAGGUGGGGGAUAUCGCAGCGAAAGCUGUGCUAAUACCGCAUGUGAUCUGAGGAUGAAAGCGGGGGACCAGGCAGCAAUGUUUGGCCUCGCGCCUUUGGAGCGGCCGAUGUCAGAUUAGGUAGUUGGUGGGGUAAAGGCCUACCAAGCCGACGAUCUGUAGCUAGUCUGAGAGGACGACCAGCCACACUGGGACUGAGACACGGCCCAGACUCCUACGGGAGGCAGCAGUGGGGAAUUUUGGACAAUGGGCGCAAGCCUGAUCCAGCAAUGCCGCGUGCGGGAAGAAGGCCUUCGGGUUGUAAACCGCUUUUGUACGGAACGAAAAGGCUCUGGCUAAUACCUGGGGCUGAUGACGGUACCGUAAGAAUAAGCACCGGCUAACUACGUG